CACGUAGGGUGCGAGCGUUGUCCGGAAUUAUUGGGCGUAAAGAGCUCGUAGGCGGUGUGUCGCGUCGGCCGUGAAAACCUGCAGCUUAACUGUGGGCGUGCGGUCGAUACGGGCAUCACUGGAGUUCGGCAGGGGGAGACUGGAAUUCCUGGUGUAGCGGUGAAAUGCGCAGAUAUCAGGAGGAACACCGGUGGCGAAGGCGGGUCUCUGGGCAGUAACUGACGCUGAGGAGCGAAAGCGUGGGGGAGCGAACAGG
rnacentral:rRNA from 1 species